GUGGUCGUGCAAUGUGGUGUUCGGGAGGGCUCUGUCCGAGUCCGGUUUUGGUCCAAGUCUCCUGGAAAGGAGUUCCAUGGAGGGUGACAGGCCCGUGCGACCAAUAACCGUGUUCGCGGACGAGUCCUCCUUCGAGUCGGGUUGUUCGCUAAUGCAGCCCUAAGCAGGUGGUAAGCUCCAUCUAAAGCUAAAUAUAACCACGAGUCCGAUAGUCAACAAGUACAGUGAUGGAAAGUUGAAAAGUACUCUGAAGAGAGAGUCAAAUAGCCCGUGAAGCUGCCAGUAUGGGAUUAAGCGCACGUGCGGCGCGUGUCGUCGGACAAAUAGGCGACUGUUGUGCGUACGGCUGGUGCGGUGUGCGUCUUGAUCGGCGUGCAUUGUGCCGGCUGGUGUGUGCGUGCCACAGAACGCUUCCCUUUGUUCGGCAUUGACAGGUCGGGGCUUCGUUGUCAAUGGUCUUAUUGCCGACAGUGAUCCACAGAGCCGAACUGGGCGGUCGUCGACUUCGGUCGGCGGCCGUGCUCCGCCGAAUGUGGUCCCUUGCGGACGCGGCGGCCGGUCUGGUCUGCGGUGCAAUGCUGUCGUUUGCGAACGACUAGGCGACGGCCAACGCAUUCGAAUCUCACGAUUCGGCUCGACCUUUGCGCUGUCACGUGCGGCCCGUCUUGAAACACGGACCAAGGAGUCUAACAUGUGAGCAAGCGAUUGAGAUUGUCGAAUCUCAAACGCGCAAUGAAAGUGAAGUGUCGUCUGACGGCACGAGCGGUGAUCUGACGUCACAUGUGGCGGCAGCGCAACCGCGGGCCGCGCCAUGGGCUGGCUUGCUUUUCGGAGCACUGCUCAGGCGCGGACCUAGAGCCCAC
rnacentral:rRNA from 1 species